rnacentral:rRNA from 1 species
GACGAACGCUGGCGGCGUGCUUAACACAUGCAAGUCGAACGGAAAGGCCCUGCUUUUGUGGGGUGCUCGAGUGGCGAACGGGUGAGUAACACGUGAGUAACCUGCCCUUGACUUUGGGAUAACUUCAGGAAACUGGGGCUAAUACCGGAUAGGAGCUCCUGCUGCAUGGUGGGGGUUGGAAAGUUUCGGCGGUUGGGGAUGGACUCGCGGGUUAUCAGCUUGUUGGUGGGGUAGUGGCUUACCAAGGCUUUGACGGGUAGCCGGCCUGAGAGGGUGACCGGCCACAUUGGGACUGAGAUACGGACCAGACUCCUACGGGAGGCAGCAGUGGGGAAUAUUGCACAAUGGGCGGGAGCCUGAUGCAGCGACGCCGCGUGCGGGAUGACGGCCUUCGGGUUGUAAACCGCUUUCGCCUGUGACGAAGCGUGAGUGACGGUAAUGGGUAAGGAAGCACCGGCUAACUACGUG